AUUUGCAUCACGUUGGUGUGGAAUUAUCGAGUGAAUACGUUAAGAAAACGGCAUGGGAAUCUUCCCUCGCCCUAACAAACGAUAAAUUUUUCCAUCUCCCUACAGACGUCGUGUAAUGCGCGAAUGCACGGCAUCGAAAACGAGGUAGGAACGUUUCUUGGUGAACGUUUACAAACAUGGGCAGAAUUUUUUCCGCGCGAUAGGCCCGGGUCCAAAGAUGAAUGAGACGAAGGUUUCGGGAGGGAACUUUUCGUCGGCAAAGCUCGUAAUAAUUUCCAUAUCACGACUAGAUAUGGAAAACGAAAGAGAACGCGGAAGGAGAAAAAAAAAAACAAUUCUUUUCGGAGGAAUACAUUUUUCCUUCAACGCGACACCAGAUAUAGCGCGAUCCUCUAACGACUGACGAACGACGACGAGCCAAAAAGUGGCGAAAAAUAAAUUCAGAUUGUCCGCAGCAUCACUCGGAAGAUCAGCUCCAGUCCCGUUCGGAAUAACUCAUUCGGUCACCGGUCAGUCAACGGUCGAUCACGCAGCCGCCCCUCAACACAGAAGACAAGGGAAGAUCUCUCGGUAUCGUCAACGUCGCAAAAUGGAAAUCGCAAAAGUCGACGACAGUGCGUCCAGCCUGGUCCAGCAAUCCUCGAACGUUUCGUCGGCGACGGUCCAGUCGCAGUCGGUGAGGACAUCGAAGUCUGUCCAAAGCGUGCAGUCAUCUUCGGUGGUGCAGUCUUCGUCGGUCGUGAAAUCGGUGACGUCAUCGAGCGUCCGUUCCCAGCGAUCGGUCGAGGUUGAGGAAUCCAUCGAAAUUAGCGAGGAGUCCUAGUAGUCGAAGAGAACGCGACGAUGCGGCCGCGUGAAUUCCAAAAAUAAACGCAGCAGCUUCUUCGCUCAGUCCUCAAGAACAAAAAAAAAGUUGUACACGUGUUGUCUAUUGAAAUUCGGAUACCUUUGGCUUUUCCGAGCCGCGACCAGAAUGACCGACGACGAGCCGAUCUGAGCGGAGCCAAUUCCUCACCUACUUCCGACUCGUUUUUUUAUCAUUUCUUUGUUCUCCCUUAUUCUGGAUCCAAAUUCCUUUUUCCCGUUUCCUUCCGCUCUGCAUUCUCCAUCUUGUUACGACGCCCUUCUCCCAUUCUUCUCAUUUUUUUUUUUUAGCGAAUCUAACGAUUUUCCACUUCUGGGACACGCUGACGUGUCCUCAUUAUUGAAUAAUUUCUUUACGUAAUAUUUAAGAAUAUUCGACUGAGUUCGAUGUGUCAAUAAAAUUACUUCAAACAUCC